UAAUGAAAUUUUUAUUUUUAAAUUUAUUUAUUUUUAUUUAGAAAUUUUACUGAAAAAUUGUAACAAAUUACUAAUUUAUAAUAUUUUAUAUUUUCCUUUCAGGAAAAGACAGAGGAUGUUGCAGAUUCUGGUGGAAUAUUGGAAUGUGACUACAGUUAGCUAUUGGGUAUGUGCGGGUGUAACUUCCGGAUUUAGAAAUAUAUAAGAUUAAACUUCUAGAGGAUCUUGAACUUCAAACUGGCCUUAGAUUUCGUUUAGAAUCCAACACUAAUCCAACACCUGAGGAAAGUGAAGUGGAAGAUCGAGAUUAGAGAGAGUUCGGUGGAAAAGCAAGGACCAAAACCACCAAAGAUUUCGGGCUGAAGCCCUAGAUCUUUGGCGAGAAGUGCCCCUUGACAUUUUCAUAAAAACUGUCAAAGUUAUUUGCAACCAUAUUGGAACCUCAAAUUACAGCGUUUUUAAACAUAGAACAACAAUUCUACCGAUACUUCAAGUUGACCAUUUUUUAGACGAACACAUUA